rnacentral:rRNA from 1 species
UACGGGAGGAGCGAGCAUUAUUCAAAAUGAUUAGGCGUAAAGAGUUUGUAGGUGGUUUUAUAAGUUGAAAAAGAAAAACUAAAGCUUAACUUUAGUUCUUUUUCAAAACUAUUUAACUUGAGUAUAAAUAGAAGAUAAUAGAAUUUCUAUUGUAGGGAUAAAAUCUGUUGAUAAUAGAAAGAAUACCAAAAGCGAAAGCAAUUAUCUAGGUAUAUACUGACAUUGAGAAACGAAAGCUUGGGUAGCGAACGGG